rnacentral:rRNA from 1 species
UACGUAGGUGGCAAGCGUUGUCCGGAUUUACUGGGCGUAAAGAGCGCGUAGGCGGCCCUGUAAGUCCGCUGUGAAAGUCAAGGGCUCAACCUGGGAACUGCAUCUGUGACUGCAUCGCUGGAGUGCGGCAGAGGGGGAUGGAAUUCCGCGUGUAGCAGUGAAAUGCGUAGAUAUGCGGAGGAACACCGAUGGCGAAGGCAAUCCCCUGGGCCUGCACUGACGCUCAUGCACGAAAGCGUGGGGAGCAAACAGG